rnacentral:ncRNA from 1 species
UACUUGGUUGAUCCUGCCAGUAGUCAUAUGCUUGUCUCAAAGAUUAAGCCAUGCAAGUCUAAGUACGAGCUCUCGUACAGUGAAACUGCGAAUGGCUCAUUAAAUCAGUUAUGGUUCAUUUGAUCGUACAGUUUACUUGGAUAACUGUGGUAAUUCUAGAGCUAAUACAUGCGAGAAGCGCCGACCUCGCGGGAGGCGUGCAUUUAUCAGACCAAAAACCGGCCGCGUCUUCGGGCGCGUUCGCCUUGGUGACUCUGGAUAACUUUGCGGAUCGCACGGUCUAGCACCGGCGACGGAUCAUUCAAGUGUCUGCCCUAUCAACUUUCGUCGGUACGGUAUUUGCCUACCGAGGUUCUUACGGGUGACGGGGAAUCAGGGUUCGAUUCCGGAGAGGGAGCCUGAGAAACGGCUACCACAUCCAAGGAAGGCAGCAGGCGCGCAAAUUACCCAUUCCCGACGCGGGGAGGUAGUGACGAAAAAUAACAAUGCAGGACUCGUUCGAGGCCCUGUAAUUGGAAUGAGUACACUUUAAAAGCUUUAACGAGUAUCCAUUGGAGGGCAAGUCUGGUGCCAGCAGCCGCGGUAAUUCCAGCUCCAAAAGUAUAUAUUUAAGUUGUUGCGGUUAAAAAGCUCGUAGUUGGAUUUUGGGCGCAGGCGGCCGGUCCGUCGCAAGGCGUGUACUGGACGUCCUGGCCUUCCCUCCGGUUCUCCGCCGGUGCUCUUGACUGAGUGUCGGCGGCGGCCCGAACGUUUACUUUGAAAAAAUUAGAGUGUUCAAAGCAGGCUCUCGAGCCUGGGAUAUGGUGCAUGGAAUAAUGGAAU